rnacentral:rRNA from 1 species
UACGUAGGCAGCGAGCGUUGUUCGGAGUUACUGGGCGUAAAGGGUGUGUAGGCGGUUCUUUAAGUUUGGUGUGAAAUCUCCCGGCUCAACCGGGAGGGUGCGCCGAAUACUGAGUGACUCGAGUGCGGGAGAGGAAAGUGGAAUUCCUGGUGUAGCGGUGAAAUGCGUAGAUAUCAGGAGGAACACCGGUGGUGUAGACGGCUUUCUGGACCGUAACUGACGCUGAUGCACGAAAGCUAGGGGAGCAAACAGG